rnacentral:lncRNA from 1 species
UAUCCCUUUUGUUCUAUGGUGAAAUAAUUCAUGGAGAAUCAUGAUUUAAUUCUAGGCACAGAGGAGUCCUUCUGUGGCUAAAUCACUUUGUUGUUUAUUUGUAGAAAUUUGAUAAAGUUUGAAAACCUAGACAAAUCAAUCCAUGCACCACCUAGAGUCCAAUCUGUUAAGAACUCUUAGAAUUGACUCACUUCACCUUUAAUCUUGAAUUUUUCUCCAUGCCAUCUUUUGAUUAG